GGCCCCGCGCGUGGGGGGACCGGGGCCGCUCGGGGAGCGGCUCGGUGUGUGGCAGCGGCACGGGGUAGCGCCGCGAGGGAGUCCGGCGUGCAGCCGGGCGGCAAAAGAGCAGCUCAAGGUAUGGGCGUUGUGAGACCAGCGGCUUGCGCGUGUGUUAAGGGCGUUUCUCGUGUCCCUGCAGGUGUGGGAGCAGCCCGGACCCCUGCUGUCCCGGGAUGGCUGCUGGGGUGCCUCCGGAUGCGCUGGGGCGGCGUGUCUCCUGUGGCACCGACUAUGGCACCGUGCGCUAUGUGGGCAGCGUGCCUCCUACUGCAGGAAUUUGGCUGGGCGUGGAAUGGGAUGAUCCUCAGAGGGGAAAGCAUGAUGGCAGCUAUGAAGGAACACAGUAUUUUAAGUGCAGGCAUCCUAAAGGAGGAUCAUUCAUCCGGCCAAACAAAGCAAAUUUUGGAGUAGAUUUUCUUACUGCAGUAAAGGAUCGGUAUGGAUUGAAUGAUAAGCAAGAUGUUCAGUAUGGGACAGGGAAUACAGUAGUAUUUGGAACGAAGACUGUGGAAUUUGUUGGAAUGGAUUCUGUUGCAGAACAGCAAAGACAGCUGAACAAACUGGUGGAUAUUUCAGUGCGUGAGUGUGCAGUGAGCCAUGCUGGUCAGGAAGAGGAAAUCAGCAGAACGUGUGCCAAUAUGAGGCAUAUAAACCUAUCAAAAAAUCUGAUAUCAUCUUGGGAGACAAUAACAGCUAUUGCUUCUCAAGUUCAAAAUCUGGAAACACUUAAUGUCAGUGAAAACAAAAUGAGAUUUCCAUCUGCAUCAGCUUUUACGUCCAGUGCAUUUUCAAACUUGAAGACUUUGGCACUUAAUCAAACUGAAAUAACAUGGACAGAGGUUCUUCUUUGUGCUCAAGGAUGGCCAGUACUUGAAGAGCUGUACCUUUCUUCUAAUUAUAUUACAGUUUUGGAAAGGCCUGAUAAUGUCCUGCAGACCCUGAAGUUGUUAGACCUUUCAGACAACCAGUUACUGGAUGGAAAUCAGCUGCAUCUAAUAGCAGAGCUCCCCAGAUUAGAACAGCUAAUACUUAGAAACACUGGGAUAUCUUCUGUACACUUUCCUGAUGCUGAAUUUGGGUGCAAGACUAAAAUGUUUCCUUUGCUAAAGCGCCUUGCAAUAAAUGACAAUAAAAUAUCGCAGUGGUCAUCUGUCAAUGAGCUUGACAAACUGCCAAGUCUGAGGGCACUGCAAUGUAGCAAUAACCCCUUCAUGGACACAGAGAAGAACCCAGAGACUGUGAUACAGCUCAUUAUUGCCAAGAUAAGUCAGUUGGAAGUUUUGAACAACUGUGAGAUCCUUCCUGCUGAAAGAAGAGGAGCAGAGCUUGAUUAUCGCAAAAUAUUUGGAAAGGACUGGCUAGAAGCUGGUGGGCAUUGGAACCCAGAGAAAAACAAACCAAGUGAAGAAUUUCUUGCUGCCCAUCCCAGAUACCCAACACUUUGUCUUAAAUAUGGAGCACCUGAAGAAGGGGAACUGAAGGGACGACAGCCUUUGACUCUGAAAAAUCAGCUCCUGACUUUGACAAUUAAGUGUCCUGAGAAACCAGAACAGAAACCAGUGGAGAAAAAACUACCAGAGUCUAUGACUAUUCAGAAGGUCAAAGGACUGCUGUAUCGCCUAUUUAAAAUUCCUGGUUCAGAACUGAAACUGUCCUACGAAAGUUCUAAAGUGAGUCAGAAACAGUUGGAAGGAAAAGAAGUUGAACUGGACAAUGACUUAAAGCCUUUGCAGUUUUACUCAAUAGAAAGUGGAGACUGUGUGUUAGUACGGUGGUAAGAAGGGACGCUUGCUGGACCGAAGGAAAAGCUGACACAGGAACUGCAUAAGAGAGACAGACAGUGCCUGAACAGACAUACAGGAAUGAGGGCAGCCCCUUAGCACAGAACCUGCUGCAGCAAGACUUAUCAGCUGCCCUGGUGCUGAGCACAGCUCUCCACAGGAUCCUGGAACAGCCCUAUACUGAGUCAAAUCAGUAGUGCUUUAAUUUACAAAAGACAGGCUAGUUGGCAUUCUUAUGUGCAUUUAUUAAUUACAAGUAGGUCUUUGACUUUAUAUAAAAAGGAUUUUUUUUUAAAUCUUGAA